rnacentral:lncRNA from 1 species
CUGACCUGUACAGAGCACUCUGCAGUUUACAAAGCGCUUUCACACACCUUGACUCAUUUCCACCCUACGACAACCCCGUGAGGUUGGGAUUAUCAUUCCCAGUCAAGAACUGAAGAGACUGAGCCCCUGAGAGUGGCUUGUCCACUAUUGUCACUGGUAGAUGGCCAAACUGUGACCGGAAGCCUGGUCUUCCUGCUCACAGACGGAGAAGAGCGUGUCCUGGGGCCCUCUCACUACCAGGCCCUUGUCAGUUGUUACCUGCAUACGUGAGGGAAGCUGAGGCUCGCUAGGUUUGCUUAGCAAUUUGCUCAGGGUCUCCAACCAGCUGGUGAGUGCUGUCAUGAGGGGCCGAACCCAUGUGGUUCUAACUCUAAAGUCAAUGGAUACAUGAAUUUAUUCGGUGAGAUCAUCAGCCGUUUGGUCCUGUCCAAAACAUCCAUAAGACAUUUGGUCCGUGCCAAAAGGUCCUUGAUAUUUGGUCAUAUUUAUUCUUGUCCAAAAUGUCUAUGGAGACAUUAGGUCCAUGCCAAAAGGUUCUUGACAUUUGGUCCUGUCCAAAACCAUUUGGCAUGGACCAAAUAUGCUCAUGGACAUUUUGGACAGGACCAAAGCUCAAGGACCUUUUGGCGUGGACCUAAUGUCUUAUGGACGUUUUGGACAGGACACCCUGCAAGGAUUAGGAUGCAUGGCCUCCCAAAUCCCAGGUCUUCUCCUUGACCCAGAGGGACUUCUCCAUGGGCACUGAGCUGUGGCUGGUCACCCUGUUGCAGUGGUUCCUAGUCUGUCGAGAGUCAUGAUUUCCAGCAUCACCCUUACCCUCGUCAUCACUUACUAGGUGCUUACUAUAUGCCAACGUCUUCACCAGGAACAUUAUGUAACUGAUGCUCUGGGCUGAAUGGUGUCCCCUCCAAAUGCAUGUGUACCUCAGUACCUCAGAUUAUGACUGUAUUUGAAGAUACGGUCUUUAAAGAGAUAACAAAUGUAAAAUGAGGUCAUUAGGGUGGGCCCUAGUUCAAUAUGACUGGUGUCCUUAUAAGAAGAGGAAAUUAGGACAUGGACGCACACAGAGGGAGAACCAUGUGAAGACACAGGGAGAAGACGACCAUCGGUAAGUCAAGGAGAGAAGCUACACAAAGAACCAAUCCUGCCGACACCUUGAUCUUGGACCUCUGGCCUCCGGAACUGUAAGGAAAUACAUUUCUGUUGUUUAAGCUGCCAGUGUAUGGUACUUUGUUAUGAGGCCCUGGCAAAUGAAUGCACCUGUCUCAUUUAGUUCUCACACGCAUUGUGGGGGCGGAGAUUCUAAUCCUUGAGGUGCCCAAAGAAGGGAGGAGAGAGAGGGGAAUGAGCCUCAUGAGGUUGCUGACACCCAGACUGGUACCCAAGAAGUGGCGAUCAUCCUGGUGACAGUGCCAUGAAGGGGCUGGUGGCCUCAGCCCUCAGCUGUGUGAGCUCAGAAACCCCAGGGGCAGCCCACUGAGAAUGAAAAUCACACAGCUUCCCUUGACUGGACUCUGUCCCUCUGCCAGGCACACGCUUGGGGCUGUACACAUACCAUCUUGCUUCCUCCUUGCAGUAGCCCCAUAGGUUGAGCAUUGCCAUCUCUUCACUUUGUAAGCGGGGACAUGGAGGCUCAGGAAGUUUCUGACUUGCCCAGGACAAUACAGCUCAUGGUGACUAGGGGUAGAAUGUGAAAUCAGUUUCGCCCAGCUCCAGAGUCAGACCAACCAACACAGGAAGAAUGGUAUAUACAUAUAGAUAUAGAUGUAUAGGUGUGUAUACAGGUAUUUAGGUAUAUACACACACACCCACCCUGUAUAUAUAUGUCUGUGUGCAUACAUAUAUAUACCCGCAUAUCUAUCUAUAUCAUCUAUAUCUAUCUCUAUAUCUAUACACUUGAUCCCAAGGGAUCAAUUUCCAAUGAGAACCCACCCUCUCUGUGAUCUGGACUGUGCUGGGAUUGCUGGGUGGCAGUAUUUUGUUCCCCGCAGCUAUGCUUGUCCACAGGUUGAAUGGUAAUGCUGGGAUGGGAGCAAGGAGAGUGAGAAAGCGUGCGUGUGUUUUUUUUGCUCGGCAGCCAAUAAGGCACUGUGCCUAAGAGAACACACCCACAGGAGGCAGCCUGUGUAGCCUGCCAUCUCAGCUGCCUCACUUGCCAGCUGUGGGACCUAGGGCAGGUUGCGUAACCUCUUGGCGCCUCUGUCUCCUCGUCCGGGAAGCACAGAAGUGUGUACCACAGAGCCCCUCGGGGGCUGUUGGCAGGACCACUGGGUCCAUGUGCCCAGAGCCCUCUGCAGCUUCCCUUCCAAGUGAGGUGAGCGGGGGAGCACACCUCUGUCGAGGAGCCCAGUGCGCCGAGAUCGGGAGACCCAGACACUUUCUGGGUAGUCUUGGGUGACUCUGCCUUGUCCUUCCUUUUCUAGACACCACACCUGACCAACCCUGGUUUGUUUACUGUCCGCCUUCCAACAGAAGCCAGUCCACUGACUGCAGAUCAUUUUCCCUGGGGUUUAGGAAACCAGGCUCUUCACUCACACGUUCUCCCGGCCUGCACAGAAGGCCCGUCUCUUCCUUGGUGGGUGGAUGUUGGUAACUUGAAUAUUCCACCCCUCUCUCUUGCUUCUAGGACUUUGUAUGUGCCUUUCCCUUCUCUUGGAAACUUUUCUCUCUGUCUCUUUGUAUGACCAACUCAUACUCAUCCUUCAGGCGUCAGCUUAGAUACGACCCUUCCUGAGAACCGUGACUUCAUCCUGGUUUCUGGGCCCCCACAGUUCCCACCACAGAAAUGCCCACGGCACUGCAACUUCUCUUUGUUGUCAUGGUCUGUCUGUGCCCCCGCCUCCCCCUACCCCAUUAGACUGCGUGCUCCCUGAGGGCAGGAACAGGCCCUCUGUCCACUGUUGGAUCCACGGGGCAUGUCUGACACACAGUGCAUAAUUCACAAAUUUUUAUUGGCUGAAUAAACCCAAAGGUCAUGUUUUAGGAGAGGACAAAGAUGAUGAAAUUAACACCGCCGGCCCCACUUAUCCCUCCCUUGUUUUGCAAGGAGCACCCUCGGUUGGCGUUGCUCGUUGGCGUGUGGAGAGGAGCAGGGCAGAAGCUUUCAGGGCUGGGGGAGGGAAAAAAAUUUGACUCAGGUUCUGUGGACGAAUGUUCUGGAAUUUGAACAGUGGGAAUGAGUGGGAAAGGGGGCAGAGAUUUGAACGGACACCAUGAGGAAGAGGACUUGUGGAGAGCGAGAGAUGUCGAAGGAGGAUUUGUGUGUGUGUGAGCAGCUGUCAAAAUCCCUCCUCAGUGUCCCCACCGGGCUUCAAUCAAGGGUGGCCCCUGGACCAGCAGCAGCAGCAUCACUGGACGGUCAGAAAUGCAGCUUCCCUGGCUCCGCCCUGGACCUAUGGAAUCAGGGUGGGACCUGGCACUCUGGGCUUUAACAAGCCCUCCAGGGGAUUCUGACCAUGUUCGAUUGAGUCUGGGCACCAACUGCGGUUAAAACCUACACGUCUUUUUACUCCUCUUUAGAGCUGCUCCUGCGCUGUCUUGGGAGAGCCGCCCCGGAGGCGUCAGGCUUCAGGAUGGAGCAGGAAGGCCAAGUUCUCUUCCCACUCACUCACAAGCUCUUGGCUUGCAUCUGCUUUACCCUCUCGGUCCUGCCAAUGACCUCUCUUUGACAGGGAAACUGAGGCUCAGAGAGGUAAGGAGCUGGCCCAAGAGAGAUCAGCGGAGUGAACGAGUUGGGCUCUGGUGUUGGGACCUGAUUUCUAGCACCACUUUGUGCUUUUCUAAGGCCUUUGUCACUCUGAGUCCAGGCUUUACUGUCUGUAAAAUGGGACAUGGGUGCCUUGAGCCAGCGGUGGGGUCGAAGGGUGGAAGGAAAGUAUAAAGAGCCUCAUGUGGAAGAUGCUAUGACAGUAGAAGUGUACUGUCUGGUUGCUCACUGGGGACGUGGCUUCUCCAACUUGACACUUCUAGUAAUUUGGGGGUUGCUGACUCCAGGGCAUACUACUGUCCAGGACCCGGAGCCUGCAAGAGUUGCUGUGGUAUUUCUGCCAGAGAGAGGAAGAGAAGAGAGAGACAGAGACAGAGACAAAGAGAGAGACAAAGAGAAACAGAGAGACAGAGAGGGACAAAGGUAGAGAGACAGAGACAGAGACAGAGACAGAGACAGAGACAGAGGCAGAGACAGAGAGAGAAACAGAGACAGAGACAAAAAGCCCAAGACAGAGAGACAGAGACAGACAGAUGGACAGACAGAGAGACAGAGAUAGAGAGACAGAGAUAGAGAGAGAAACAGAGAGAGAGAGAAAGACAGACAGACAGACAGCGAGCAGGCGAGCAGACAGCGGCAGCUCCUGUCUCCUGGACGCGUCUGGAGGGAGCCUGUGUGGGGCUCUGACCCCAGUGCGCUCAUGCAGGACGGGAAUGAAAGUCAGCGGUGGUGUCCUGGGACGUUGCUGCAGACCUGUGGUUCGCAAGCUGGGCUGCCCGUUAGAAUCCCUGGGCAGCUUUGAAGAAUUUCCGCGUCCCGGCUGCACCUUGACCGAUGACUUUCGAGUCUCCGUGGACCGGGCCUGGGCUGCUGGUGAGGCUUCCUUCUGAAGAACUGACUUCCGGCUGCCACAGCACUAAACAUAAAAGCCAAGAGACGGUCAUAAGGAAACGGGGGCGGGGAGAGCGCGUUUGUUGGAAUCUCUUCUUCCACGGUCACACACUGGCUGAACAUAGCCUGGAGAGGGACUCGGCUCUCAAGGACACGCGUGAUUUGGACUGACGAUCCAGGUUAGACACCGGGAAUCCAGGAUAACCGCCCAUCUCCAAGUACUUAACUUUACACACAUCUGCAAAGUCCCUCUUGCCAAGUAAAGUAAUAUUUUUCACAGGCUCCAGCGACUAGGAAUGGGGGCAUCUUUGAGGGGCUGUUAUUCUGCUCACCACAAGUGCUCAGCACAGUAAGGACUUGGGGAAGGUUAGUUAUGCUGAUCUCAUCUAGGUCAUCUAGCUCAGCUGGUUCUGCUAAUGACUUGGAGAGGCAGACACUGCUACACGCCCAGAUUCUGUCACUUCCUUGCUGUGUGAACUUCGGCUGGUUACUUAGCGUCUCUGAACCUCACUUUCCUUCUCUGUAUAAUGGAGGAUAAAGUACCAAUCUUACAGUGUUGUUUGUGAUAAUAAAGUGAAAUAAAGCCGCUUAGAGCAUUGUCUGGCAUGUAGUAAGCACUAAGAGGCAUCAUCUAAAAUAAUAUUAACAACAGCAGCAUCAGUAGCAUCAUCUUCAUCUUACACGAAGGAUGUAAUCGGCCAUUCACAGUUGCAAGGUCUGUUGCAGACGCAGGCCUGUGGCUCCAAGGUCUGUGCUUUCUUCAGGAGCGAGAAAGGGACCUGUGGGCUCCUCAGGGAAGAAUGAAGGCCGGGGGUGGACUCUCCAAGAAGCAGAUUUCAGCUCAAUGAAAGAACUUUCUAUUAGGCCAGUUGUCUGGCAAAGGUGAGCCUCCUUUCCUGGGGGCUGCACAGAGACCCCCCACGGUCCCUUCUUCCAACUCCAGAGUCUCUGAGUAGGGUCUUCAGGAUGCAUUUGGCUGGCUUCCCGACCUCCUGCAGGAACGGGGCUGACCAGGUGCCGGGAGCUCCCUGUGGAGCGGGGUGGCGAGGGCUUCUGUGAGAAAGGCGUAGCUUCUGGUCUCCCCUCUGCACUCAUCUUCCAUUUCUCAGGACACCCUGUGGCUGGGCUGUUGGCAGAGGCCAUGGGAGUUCGCCAACAUACGAGCGGAAGGACAGACAUGGCAGCCCCUGCUAGAUCUUUGGUUUCUCACCCUUCAUUCUACAGAUGAGGAAACUGAGGCCCAGAGAGGUGCUGGGGUUUGCCUGAGGUCGGUCGUAAUGCAAGUGGGAAGAGACCUGGGACUGGAAUCCAGAUCUUGCAGCUCGCAGGAACAGCUUCUCUGUCCUCCAUCCCUCCCAGUACAGACGUACUGCAUGAGAGACACUGUGCCAGAUGCUCCCUUUUCAGCAGAGAAAAGAUACACACCCUCCCCUGCAUCCAAGCUCUGUGGAUUUCCUCCCCUGACAGUCCAUCCUUGGGGGCCUCCUGUCGAUCACCCCAGUGUGCCGAACGCUUUUCAGCCUCCAGGCCUUUGUCCCUGCUGUUCCUGCUGCUGGAGCCCCUUCUCCCUGCUCCGUGCAUGGCUCACUCCUUUCCUUCCCAGCACCUGGCCGGAUCCAUGGUGCCUGCCUCUUCUCUCUCUCUGGGGCUCGUUUUGCUUCCUUCGCUGGCUCCCACACAGCAGUCUGCUUGAGCUGAUUUCUUGCUCAUCAUCCGUGCCUCCUCUAGGCUCGGAGCCCCCUUAGGGCAGGGACUCUGUCACUGUUCCCACCACCAUGUCUCCACGGGCUCUGUGCUUGAAAUGUACCUGGUGACUGACUAAAUCAAUGUCUGCUUUCCAGUGGGCAAAAGAGUUAUUAACAAGGCGUCCUGCACAUGAGUAAGUAAUUAUGAAUUGUGGGAACUGCUGGGAGCGGGGUCUGCAGUGCUCCCGGGGGCCCGAUAUGUGGGGACCUGCCCCUGCUGGGUCUCCGCCAGGGCACUGAGACCUUGGGGCAGCAGUGGGUUCCUCUGAGGAGGAGCCCUGAUCCCCCAGACCAGGGCAGGCCUCCCGUCCUGUGGCUUGAUAGCUCCCUAGAGGCUUUCUUUACAGCACUCAUUGCAAUGAUACCCAUGUACACAGUUAGUUCUAUUUUUAUUGUGGUUAAAACCCCAUAGCAUACAUUUUACCAUUAGUGACAUUUAGCGCAUUCACAAUACUGCUCAAACAUCACUGCUGUCUGGUUCCAGACAUUUUUCAUCAUCUCCAAAGGAAGCCUCACACACUUUAAGCGGUCCCUUCCCGUGCUCCCACCCCGCGCCCCUGGCAACUGCUAAUCUACUUUCUGUCUCUAUGAAUUUGCCUAAUCUGGAUGUUUUAUAUUCAUCGAAUGAAAUUAGUAUUUAAAAAAAAUUUUUUUCUGUGUCAUCAUCUCCCCCAGGGUAGGAAUUGUGUCUGUCUGCCUGGCUUGCCUUUGCCGAGUUCUGGGCACAGACAAACAGCCGUGGCGGCACAGGAGGACGUUUUCUCCACCGCGCGUCUGUGAGCUCAUAGGAGGUGGGCUGUGCGUCUUAUAGGACCAGCGGCGUGCGCGUGCUCAGGUUCAGUUCCUCCAGCUGCCUCUUGCUGGAUCAAGUGUUACCUGAGGACAGUUGCUUAAUACCUCGAAGCAUCCAUUUCUUCAUCAAUAAAAAGUAGAUAGUGGUGAUGUUCGCCGCCUUGGGGUGACAUGAGGACAGAUGACCUGCCGCUGGCGCCAGGGCCUGGCCAGGAGCAGAAACUCAUGAACGUGAGCUAUUGUUAUUAUUUUCCAAGUUUUCAAUCCCAUGCUUUAGGAUAGAUAAUGAGCAGAGUCCGAACUCAGCAAAUGCAUUUUAGUUGGAAUGAUGCGUAAGAGGGUUUAAAAAUUAGGCCAGUGGACGUUCAGGUCAAAACUGCAGAUAGCUCAUUUGGGGUAAAGACAAGAAAGAGACCCCUUGCAUUAGCUUUUGCUAAGUUAUUCUACGAUGAUGAACAUCAACAACCUGGCAGAGGCUUACAGCCAUAGGGGUUGGCUUUGCUUUCUUUGUGGGUCCCUGUGGACCAGUUGUGGCUCUGCUCCUGUGUCUUUUCAUUCCAGGGUCCAGGCUGAGGAAGCUGACCUCACAUCUGGGAUGUGCCACUCCUGUGCCAGAGGGAAGAGGCAGGGAUGGCUGACAUCGUUACCACUCACAUCCGGAGGCUACGCCCAUCACAUUGCCAAGCUUGGUGUCUGGGGUGGGGGCAGGGCAGGGACUGUACUGCCCUCCUCCAAGCGGGCACCGCAGGUAGCCGAGCAGGGAGUAGGGAUGGAUAAUCCUCUCCCAGGGAGGGCAGCCAAUAACUGGGAAUAAUCAUAGGCGGGCCACCCUCUGCCCUGAGAGCUUUAGUUAUUUUGGGGGCGUGGUCUGACGCAUCUCUUCAGCUCGCUCACUUCAGUGCUCCACCUACAACCCAGCACCAUCACCCUAGGAGAUUUGGGGGGCUGUCAACUAAGAAUGGGUACAGUGAGUGGUCUGUGAGGGUCUCUUGCUCUGCAGAUUUGGUCCAUACACUGAAACCUAUGAAACCCCCUUCUUGGCAGUGUUAUCUAUGGUAGUAGAAAACGAGGAAUAGCCUAAAUAUCCCUCAAUAGGGGAAUGACAAGUGAACAGUGUUUUGUUCAUGCAAGGGCAUCUCUACUACCAUUGAAAUAGAUGAACCACAGCUAAAUAUUAAAUUGGAAGACUCUCCAAAAUGUAAUGGUGAGUGGAAAAAGCAGAUGUAGGAUGAUAUCAAUAGAAAAACAUGCAGUCUUUGAAACAGGGAAUUCCUCAAAAUGUUAAACACUGAGUUACCAUAUGACCCGGUAAUUCUGCUCCUAGGCAUACACCCAAGAGAAUUGAAAACACUUGUCCACACCAAAACUUGCAUAUGAAUGUUCAUGGCAGCAUUAUUCAUAACAGCCAAAAAGUGGAAACAAUUGAAAUGCCUACCAAUAGACGAAUGGAUAAAAAAAUGUGGUAUAUCCACGAAAUGGAAUACAAUUCAGCCAUAGAAAAGAGUAAAGUAUUGAUACAUGGUACAUGGAUGAAUCUUGCAAACAUUCUGCUAAGUGGAAGAAGCCAGACUCAAAAGACCAUAGAUUGUAUUAUUCCGUUUAUAGUAAAUGUUCAGAAUAGGCCAAUCUGUAGAGAUAUAAAUAAGAUUCGUGGUUGCUAGGGGCGGGGGAGAGGAGGGAGUGACUGCUGAAAGGGUACAGGGGUUCCUUUUGUGGUGACGAAAAUGUUCUGGAACUGGAGAGUGGUAAUGGUUGCGCAAAAUUGUGAAUAUAUGAAAUGACACUGGAUUUUGUACGGCAACCUCCCUUGUCCACAGGGGAAACGUUCCAGGACCCCCAGCGGAUUCCUGAAACCGAGGAUAGACUGAACUCUACAUAUGCUAUGCUUUUUCAUAUAUAUACACGCUUAUGAUAAAGUUUAAUUUGUAAAUUGGGCACUGUACAAGAUUAACAACGGUAACUAAUAAUAAAGUAGAACAAUCAUAAUGAUAUUAUGUGAUAAAAGUUACUGUGGAUCUUAGCCACCUCUGCAUAUAAUUUUUUUCUUUCCUUAUUAAGUUGAGAGCUUUCGCCUUUUCGCUUAAAGGAAGCACUGUUUGGCUUCUCUUUGGCAACUCCGAACUACCAGCAUCCCUGCUCUUGCACUUGGAGGAGGUCCUCAUCCCUUGUCUGCAAUUCUGAAACCUACGAUGCACCAUAAAGCAGAAGCUUUUCUGGGAAAACUCUUUUUCCUGAGCUCCCCUGGACUGAUGAGAGUGCAUUGACCUCUUUGGGAGUGCACUUCAGUCCAGGCUUGGCCUGUGGAGGUAAACUAGUCUUCAUAGCCCUGGCGUGGAUGUGAACUCAAACUCCCCUCUGGAUUCCGGAGCUGUGACAAUCUCCUCCUCUCACCUGACUUUGGAGAAAUACAUGCAGACUGCCCUUGCUCCUCUGGACUGUGACAAUUUCUCAGACUCGCCUCGUUUUUGACGACCUGAACAUCUUUGAGGAGGACUGGUCAGGCAUUUGGGAGAAAUGUCCUUCAGCUGGGGGUUUCAUUUGGGACUUAUACAGAAGACUGCGCUGGCUUGUCAUGCGUCUUGUUCAUCACUGAGCUUUCCAUGGUGUCAGGCACGAUGACUGGCGAAUGGUAGGUGUUUGAUACGCGUCUAGUGGUUGAUUGUUUGCAUUUGCUGAGGAUGGAGAAAGUGGAGGCCUGCAUACUUCAAAAGUCCGGAAGUUACAGACGUCAGCGAACAUGGACUGACCUAGCUCAGCUCUGAGCAGAGAGAAGUGGUUUAGUAACUUUGGUAGUGUUUUACUUCCUUUUUGCAUAAUUUUUGCAUAAUUGCCUGAAGAAGCGAGGGGAGUGGACAUUGCUGUGAUACCAAGACUACCGUGGCCGACGAACCAUGGGUGUGCCAGGGUCAUCCAGCUUUGAGAGUAGCACCAUCACACACUUCGUUGCUCAAGCAAGAAACCUGGACAUCGUACUUACUCUUCCUUCUCUUCCAGCUACUACUGUCGGUCAACAGUCAAGGGCUGCUAAAUAUGCCUUCUUUGUUUUUUAUUCUUUUUUCAAAUUUUUAAAUUUUAUUGAGGCCACAACGGUUUAUAACAUCAUGUAAAUUUCAUGUGUAUAUCAUUGUAUUUUGGCUUCUGUAUAGACUGCAUCCUGUUCACCACCGAAAGUCUAGUUACCAUCCGUCACCAACCAUAUGUGUCCCUUCACCCCUUUUGCCCUUCCCAUUCUCUUCCCCUCUGGUAACCACCAAUCUCUUUUCCUUAUCCACGUGUCUGUUUAUCUUCCACAUAUGAGUGAAAUUGUAUGAUAUUUGUUUUUCUCUGUCUGACAUAUUUUGCUUAGCCUAAUACCCUCAAGGUCCAUUCAUGUUGUUGCCAACGGCACGAUUUCUUCUGUUUUUAAGGUUGAGUAGUUUUCAUUGUUUAUCAACUAGGAGAAGAUAUUUGCAAAUCGUAUUUUUUUCCAAUCGUAUAUAAUUUUUUUCCAAAUCGUAUAUAAUUUCCAAAAUAUAUAAAGAACUCAUACAAUUCAACAACAAAAAAAGAAUAACCCGAUCAAAAAAUGGGCAG